GCCGGGAUGGCGGAAUUGGCAGACGCGCGCGACUCAAACUCGCGUGGGCUCAGCCCGUGAGGGUUCGACUCCCUCUCCCGGCACGA
rnacentral:tRNA from 1 species